UACCUAGUUAAUUCUACUAGUAAUUAUAUAUUUAUUUUAAAGAUUAAGCUAUAUAUAUCUAAGUAUAAGUAAUUAUAAAGCGAAACUACGAAUAGCUUAUUAUAUAAGUUAUCGUUUAUUUAAUAGUAUUUUACUAUAUAGAUAACUAUAGUAAUUCUAGAGCUAAUAUAUAUUAAAAAUCCUAAUUUCGGAAAGGAUAUAUUUAUUAAAUAUAAAACUAAUACCCUUUAGGGCUCUCUUAGUAAUUUAUAAUAACUUCUUAAAUCGUAUAGCCCUAUAUUAGCGAUAAUUCAUUUAAAUUUCUUCCCUAUUAACUUUCAAUAUUAUAGUAUUAUCCUAGUAUAGUUAUAAUAGGUAAUAGAAGGUUAGGGCUCGACCCCGGAGAAGGAGCCUAAGAAACGGCUAUUAUAUCUAAGGAAGGUAAUAAGCGUAUAAAUUACUUAAUCCUAACUUAAGGAGGUAAUAACGAUAAAUACCGAUAUAGGGCUCUUUUAAGUCCUAUAAUUAGAAUAAAUAUAAUUUAAAUCCUUUAAUAAGGAAUAAUUAGAGGGUAAAUCUAAUACUAAUAGCCGUAGUAAUUCUAGCUCUAAUAGCGUAUAUUAAAAUUAUUAUAGUUAAAAAGCUUAUAAUAGAAGCUCGGCCUCUAGUCGGCUAGUCCGCCUUACUAUAUAUACUAGUUCGGCUAGGGCUUUACCUUCUACGGAACUAUAUCUCCUUUAUUAAGGGUAUUAGGGAAAUAGGACGUUUAUUUUAAAAAAAUUAGAGUAUUCUAGGUAAGCUUAUACUCGAAUAUAUUAAUAUAGAAUAAUAGAAUAGGAUAUAUAGUCUUAUUUCGUUAAUUUCUAGGACCGCUAUAAUAAUUAAUAGGGAUAAUUAAGGGCAUUAAUAUUUAAUCGUUAGAAGUAAAAUUCUUAGAUCGAUUAAAGACUAACUACUAUAAAAGUAUUUACUAAAGAUAUUUUUAUUUAUUAAGAAUAAAAGUUAAAGGAUCGAAGACGAUUAGAUACCAUUAUAGUCUUAACUAUAAACUAUACCGAUUAGGGAUCGGAUAGUAUUAUUUCUUAACCUAUUUAGUACUUUAUAAGAAAUUAAAGUGCUUAGGCUCUAGGGGGAGUAUAGUUAUAAAGCUAAAACUUAAAGAAAUUAACGGAAGGGCACUACUAGGGGUAGAGCCUAUAGCUUAAUUUAACUUAAUAUAGGGAAACUUACUAGGUCUAGAUAUAAUAAGGAUUAAUAGAUUAAGAGCUCUUUUUUAAUUUUAUAGGUAAUAGUAUAUAGCUAUUCUUAAUUAAUAGAAUAAUUUAUCUACUUAAUUAUAAUAACGAACGAGACCUUAACCUAUUAAAUAGUCUAUAUUACCCUAGUAAUACGCUAAUUUCUUAGAGGGACUAUUAGCUUAAGCCGAUAAAAGUUUAAAGUAAUAAUAGGUCUAUAAUACCCUUAGAUAUUCUAGGCUAUAUACGUAUUAUAUUAACGGGGCUAGUAAGUACUACUUUAGCCGAAAAGUCCGAGUAAUCUUAUAAAACCCUAUUAUACUAGGGAUAGAGUAUUAUAAUUAUUACUCUUUAACGAGGAAUCCCUAAUAAGCGUAAAUUAUUAGCUUAUAUUAAUUACGUCCUUACCUUUUAUAUAUACUACUUAUCGCUAUUAUCGAUUAAAUAGCUUAGUAAAGCUUUCGGACUAGUCUAGAGUAGGGGGCGACCCCUAUUCUAGAUUAGAAAAUUAUCCGAAUUUAGUUAUUUAGAGGAAGUAAAAGUUAUAAUAAGGUCUCUAUUAAUAAAUUAGUAAAGGGAUUAUUA
rfam:Verticillium dahliae VdLs.17 supercont1.43 genomic scaffold, whole genome shotgun sequence.